AUAUCAAAGAAUACAUAGUCUACUCGAAGUGUGUACACUUACGUGCACUAAAAAACAAAUAAAAUUUUCCAUUUAAAACCAAGAAGAUCGGAGUCUUAUUAGAAAAUAUGCAGCGGUUUAUUACUUUCAUUGUUGGAGGAAUUGUUGGUUUUCUAAUUGCCAAGAAUCACCGCUAAGCGAAAAUGGCCUAUGUCAUCUGCUUUGGAAUGGGGAUGGUUUUUGGCAUGUUCGUGUGCCGACGUUGUGAGCCCUGAUUGAGAAGACUCCAUGGACAAAUAGACCUCAUGAAAGACCUGCAGGAAUCCAAGAUCUCAAGUGCAUUCUUGUUUAAAAUGAAUUUCGAUUAAACAGCUCUUGACAAAUUU